rnacentral:lncRNA from 1 species
GAUUAAUCAUAUGAGACAUUACUUUAGUUUUUGCAUGCUAUAAAACGAGGAGUAUUACACAAAAUGUUAAGGAAUAGUUCUUAAAAAUUUCAGAUGAAUUUAGUUACUAGUGUCUAGUGUAUUGCCAUCUAGGAAUUUCAAAGAUAAUGUAUGCUUAAAGUAAAUAAAAGAGAAAAGAAAUGUAUGCUUUAAGUGUCACACUGAUGUAAGCCAUGACGGACUGCAUGAAACAUGCAAUUACAUGAAAACACAUUAUGCC